rnacentral:rRNA from 1 species
GACGGAGGAUGCAAGCGUUAUCCGGAAUGAUUGGGCGUAAAGCGUCCGCAGGUGGCAGUUCAAGUCUGCUGUCAAAGACCGGGGCUUAACUUCGGAAAGGCAGUGGAAACUGAACAGCUAGAGUAUGGUAGGGGCAGAGGGAAUUCCUGGUGUAGCGGUGAAAUGCGUAGAGAUCAGGAAGAACAUCGGUGGCGAAGGCGCUCUGCUGGACCUUAACUGACACUCAGGGACGAAAGCUAGGGGAGCGAAUGGG